AACUGCUUCCAGCUGUGCUGACAU
rnacentral:miRNA from 1 species